rnacentral:misc_RNA from 1 species
GUACCUUCAAGCUUUGCUUGGUGUUGGGCGUUUUGUCUGUUCCUCUGGAAGUAGACUCGCCUUAAAGUAAUUGGCAGCCAGUGUUUUUGGUAGUAAGCGCAGCACAUUUUGCGUCUUCGUCUUCAAACAGCGGCAUCCACAGAGCCUCUUUCUCAC